rnacentral:rRNA from 1 species
UUCAGCGGCGGACGGGUGAGUAAUGCCUAGGAAUCUGCCUGGUAGUGGGGGAUAACGUCCGGAAACGGGCGCUAAUACCGCAUACGUCCUGAGGGAGAAAGUGGGGGAUCUUCGGACCUCACGCUAUCAGAUGAGCCUAGGUCGGAUUAGCUAGUUGGUGGGGUAAAGGCCUACCAAGGCGACGAUCCGUAACUGGUCUGAGAGGAUGAUCAGUCACACUGGAACUGAGACACGGUCCAGACUCCUACGGGAGGCAGCAGUGGGGAAUAUUGGACAAUGGGCGAAAGCCUGAUCCAGCCAUGCCGCGUGUGUGAAGAAGGUCUUCGGAUUGUAAAGCACUUUAAGUUGGGAGGAAGGGCAGUAAGUUAAUACCUUGCUGUUUUGACGUUACCAACAGAAUAAGCACCGGCUAACUUCGUGCCAGCAGCCGCGGUAAUACGAAGGGUGCGAGCGUUAAUCGGAAUUACUGGGCGUAAAGCGCGCGUAGGUGGUUCAGCAAGUUGGAUGUGAAAUCCCCGGGCUCAACCUGGGAACUGCAUCCAAAACUACUGAGCUAGAGUACGGUAGAGGGUGGUGGAAUUUCCUGUGUAGCGGUGAAAUGCGUAGAUAUAGGAAGGAACACCAGUGGCGAAGGCGACCACCUGGACUGAUACUGACACUGAGGUGCGAAAGCGUGGGGAGCAAACAGGAUUAGAUACCCUGGUAGUCCACGCCGUAAACGAUGUCGACUAGCCGUUGGGAUCCUUGAGAUCUUAGUGGCGCAGCUAACGCGAUAAGUCGACCGCCCUGGGGAGUACGGCCGCAAGGUUUAAACUCAAAUGAAUUGACGGGGGCCCGCACAAGCGGUGGGAGCAUGUGGUUUAAUUCGAAGCAACGCGAGAACCUUACCUGGGCCUUGACAUGCUGAAGACUUUCCAGAAGAUGGGAUUGGGUGCCUUCGGGACUCAGACACAGGUGGCUGCAUGGCUGUCGUCAGCUCGGUGUCGUGAGAUGUUGGGGUUU